rnacentral:misc_RNA from 1 species
AAAGUCGUAACAAGGUUUCCGUAGGUGAACCUGCGGAAGGAUCAUUAUUGAAUAAAUUUGGUUGGGUUGUUGCUGGCUCUUUGGAGCAUGUGCACGCUCACGCCAUCUUUAACCACCUGUGCACCUUGUGUAGGCCCUUGGUACUUGAGAAUCGCUGUUUAUUGGCUUUUCUCGUAUCUGGGUCUAUGUUUUUAUACACACUCCAUAAAAGUAUUAGAAUGUUUUAUCUAGGCCUUUGUGCCUAUAAAAACAAAAACAACUUUCAACAACGGAUCUCUUGGCUCUC